GAUGAACGCUGGCGGCGUGCCUAACACAUGCAAGUCGAGCGAGGGUUUGCUCAGUAUUGAGUAUUCUAAAACUAGAAUGUUCAAUUCUGAGCAAAACCAAGUGGCGGACGGGUGAGUAACGCGUGGGUAACCUGCCCUAUACACAUGGAUAACAUACUGAAAAGUUUACUAAUACAUGAUAAUAUAUAUUUGCGGCAUCGCAGAUAUAUCAAAGUGUUAGCGGUAUAGGAUGGACCCGCGUCUGAUUAGCUAGUUGGUGAGAUAACUGCCCACCAAGGCGACGAUCAGUAGCCGACCUGAGAGGGUGAUCGGCCACAUUGGAACUGAGACACGGUCCAAACUCCUACGGGAGGCAGCAGUGGGGAAUAUUGCACAAUGGGCGAAAGCCUGAUGCAGCAACGCCGCGUGAACGAUGAAGGUCUUCGGAUCGUAAAGUUCUGUUGCAGGGGAAGAUAAUGACGGUACCCUGUGAGGAAGCCCCGGCUAACUACGUGCCAGCAGCCGCGGUAAUACGUAGGGGGCUAGCGUUAUCCGGAUUUACUGGGCGUAAAGGGUGCGUAGGUGGUCCUUCAAGUCGGUGGUUAAAGGCUACGGCUCAACCGUAGUAAGCCGCCGAAACUGGAGGACUUGAGUGCAGGAGAGGAAAGUGGAAUUCCCAGUGUAGCGGUGAAAUGCGUAGAUAUUGGGAGGAACACCAGUAGCGAAGGCGGCUUUCUGGACUGCAACUGACACUGAGGCACGAAAGCGUGGGUAGCAAACAGG
rnacentral:rRNA from 1 species